AGGGAAACCGAGUCUUAACUGGGCGUUAAGUUGCAGGGUAUAGACCCGAAACCCGGUGAUCUAGCCAUGGGCAGGUUGAAGGUUGGGUAACACUAACUGGAGGACCGAACCGACUAAUGUUGAAAAAUUAGCGGAUGACUUGUGGCUGGGGGUGAAAGGCCAAUCAAACCGGGAGAUAGCUGGUUCUCCCCGAAAGCUAUUUAGGUAGCGCCUCGUGAACUCAUCUUCGGGGGUAGAGCACUGUUUCGGCUAGGGGGUCAUCCCGACUUACCAACCCGAUGCAAACUGCGAAUACCGAAGAAUGUUAUCACGGGAGACACACGGCGGGUGCUAACGUCCGUCGUGAAGAGGGAAACAACCCAGACCGCCAGCUAAGGUCCCAAAGUCACAGUUAAGUGGGAAACGAUGUGGGAAGGCUCAGACAGCCAGGAUGUUGGCUUAGAAGCAGCCAUCAUUUAAAGAAAGCGUAAUAGCUCACUGGUCGAGUCGGCCUGCGCGGAAGAUGUAACGGGGCUAAACUGUGCACCGAAGCUGCGGCAGCGACGCUUAUGCGUUGUUGGGUAGGGGAGCGUUCUGUAAGCCUGCGAAGGUGUCCUGUGAGGGAUGCUGGAGGUAUCAGAAGUGCGAAUGCUGACAUAAGUAACGAUAAUGCGGGUGAAAAGCCCGCUCGCCGGAAGACCAAGGGUUCCUGUCCAACGUUAAUCGGGGCAGGGUGAGUCGACCCCUAAGGCGAGGCCGAAAGGCGUAGUCGAUGGGAAACGGGUUAAUAUUCCCGUACUUGGUGUUACUGCGAAGGGGGGACGGAGAAGGCUAUGUUGGCCGGGCGACGGUUGUCCCGGUUUAAGCGUGUAGGCUGGUUUUCCAGGCAAAUCCGGAAAAUCAA
rnacentral:rRNA from 1 species